CUGAUAUAUCUUGGCAGACUGGGGUAUGAAUCAGUAACAUUUGCAUUUCAACAAGUAGGGGUAAUAUAUCUAAACUCGUGCUGUAUAAUGAGCGGGUUAUUGUGCUCAGCGGGAUAAUGAGAUUGCUGGUGUAACCGUUCGUACUCCAAUUUACCGCUAUAACGUCUUAUAACUUAGAAUUUAGCAGGGCUAACCAUACAGAU